UACGUAGGAUCCGAGCGUUGUCCGGAUUUACUGGGCGUAAAGGGUGCGUAGGCGGCAUAGUAAGUCUCAUGUGAAAUCUCCUGGCUCAACUGGGAGGGGUCAUGGGAAACUGCUACGCUUGAGGGCAGCAGAGGAGAGCGGAAUUCCGGGAGUAGUGGUGAAAUGCGUAGAUACCCGGAGGAACACCCGUGGCGAAAGCGGCUCUCUGGGCUGUACCUGACGCUGAGGCACGAAAGCGUGGGGAGCAAACCGGAUUAGAAACCCCCGUAGUCC
rnacentral:rRNA from 1 species